rnacentral:rRNA from 1 species
AUUGAACGCUGGCGGCAGGCCUAACACAUGCAAGUCGAGCGAGCGGCGGACGGGUGAGUAAUGUCUGGGGAACUGCCUGAUAGAGGGGGAUAACUACUGGAAACGGUAGCUAAUACCGCAUACCAUCGGAUGUACCCAGAUGGGAUUAGCUGGUUGGUGGGGUAAAGGCUCACCUAGGCGACGAUCCCUAGCUGGUCUGAGAGGAUGAACAGCCACACUGGAACUGAGACACGGCCCAGACUCCUACGGGAGGCAGCAGUGGGGAAUAUUGCACAAUGGGCGCAAGCCUGAUGCAGCCAUGCCGCGUGUAUGAAGAAGGCCUUCGGGUUGUAAAGUACUUUCAGCGGGGAGGCGUUACCCGCAGAAGAAGCACCGGCUAACUCCGUGCCAGCAGCCGCGGUAAUUC